CAAUAGCGUAUAUUAAAGCUGUUGCAGUUAAAAAGCUCGUAGUUGGAUUUCUGGUGGGAGCGAUCGGUCUGGCGCUUAGCGCGAGUACUUGCAUCGUCUCCGGCCAUCCUUGGGGAGAGUCUGUCUGGCAUUAGGUUGUCGGGCAGAGGAUCCUCAUCGUUUACUGUGAAAAAAUUAGAGUGUUCAAAGCAGGCUUAUGCCGUUGAAUAUAUUAGCAUGGAAUAAUAAGAUAGGACUUUGGUACUAUUUUGUUGGUUUGCGCACCAAAGUAAUGAUUAAUAGGGACAGUUGGGGGUAUUCGUAUUCCGUUGUCAGAGGUGAAAUUCUUGGAUUUACGGAAGACGAACUACUGCGAAAGCAUUUACCAAGGAUGUUUUCAUUAA
rnacentral:rRNA from 1 species